AUGAGCCAAAAGAGUUACCACCAGACCCAUGAUCAUGUAAUACCUCUUAUGGAGGGAGCUGAGCCGAUUAAUCUCAGGCUGUAUAGAUACUCGCACGAUCAAAAGGCAGCCAUUGAAAAGUUGGUCGAUGAAAUGCUAGUAGCUGCUGUGAUUAGGCCAAGCUCAAGCCCUUGCCCUUUUCAAGUCCUGUACCUGUAG
rnacentral:rRNA from 1 species